UACGAAGGGUGCAAGCGUUACUCGGAAUUACUGGGCGUAAAGGGCGCGUAGGCGGUUCGUUAAGUCUGUCGUGAAAUCCCCGGGCUCAACCUGGGAAUGGCGAUGGAUACUGGCGAGCUAGAGUGUGUCAGAGGAUGGUGGAAUUCCCGGUGUAGCGGUGAAAUGCGUAGAGAUCGGGAGGAACAUCAGUGGCGAAGGCGGCCAUCUGGGACAACACUGACGCUGAAGCACGAAAGCGUGGGGAGCAAACAGG
rnacentral:rRNA from 1 species